UGUAGUGGUAUCUCAGAGUUGUCUUAAUUUGCAUUUCUCAUCAAUAGUGAUUUGGAACACUCUUUCAUAUGAGUGGAAAUAGUUUCAAUUUCAUCAUCUGAAAAUUGUCAGUUCAUAAUUGGAGAAUGGCUUUAUUUCUUAUAAAUUAGAGUCAAUUCUCUAUAUAUUUUGGAAAUGAGGAAUGGCCUACCUUUUUUUUUUAACCUUUUUAUUUUAUUUUAUAAUAACUUUAUAUUGACAGAAUCCAUGCCAGGGUAAUUUUUUUUACAUUAUCCCUUGCACUCGCUUCUGUUCCGAUUUUUCCCCUCCCUCCCUGUACCGCCCCCCCCCCCAGAUGGCAAGCAGUCCUAUAUAUAUGUUAGAUAUGUUGCAGUAUAUCCUAGAUAUAAUAUAUGUUUGCAGAACCAGACAGUUCUCUUGUUGCACAGGGAGAAUUGGAUUCAGAAGGUAAAAAUAACCCAGGAAGAAAAACAAAAAUGCAAAUAGUUCACAUUCGUUUCCUAGCGUUCUUUCUUUGGGUGUAGCUGCUUCUGUCCAUCAUUUAUCAAUUGAAACUCAGUUAGGUGUCUUUGUCAAAGAAAUCCACUUCCAUAGAAUACAUUCUCAUACAGUAUCAUUGUCGAAGUGUAUAAUGAUCUCCUGGUUCUGCUCAUUUCACUUAGCAUCAGUUCAUGUAAGUCUCUCCAAGCCUCUCUGUAUUCAUUCUGCUGGUCAUUUCUUACAGAACAAUAGUAUUCCAUAACAUUCAUAUACCACAAUUUACCCAGCCAUUCUGCAGUUGAUGGGCAUCCAUUCAAUUUCCAAUUUCUAGCCACUACAAGCAGGGCUGCCACAAACAUUUUGGCACAUACAGGUCCCUUUCCCUUCUUUAGUAUCUCUUUGGGGUAUGAGCCCAGUAGUAGCACUGCUGGAUCAAAGGAUAUGCACAGAUGGCCUACCUUUCUAAGAUCAUUGAGGAUCAGGUGAAGUAAUUACCAAUUCCUGAAGGAUUUGCUUUAACCAUUUCUCUCUCACCUGUCUUACCAUUAUUCCUGCUCUCUUGGACUAUAGAAAUAGCAUAAGUGCUCUUUUCUAUUUUUCUACAUAUCAGAUUUGUGAAUAGAGCUAAUGUUAUUUUAAAUCAUCAAUAACCACUUCUGGUCCAUCUAGAUCUGGCAUUUAAAACCUUCUAAAGUCUGGUGCUAUUGAGCUUUUCAUACUUUUCUCAUAUUUGUAUGCCACAGUCAAACUCGUCUUUAUUUAACCAACUCUCCCUUACUUACCACUACCUAUGAUCAGAUCUAUUGAAUUUCCUAUUGAAUAGAAAUCCAUUCUUUAAAGGACAGUUUAAAUAUUAUGUCCAUGCAGCCUUUCCACACUUUCCUUUUCUCAAAUUGGUAAUGACUUUCUUAUAGAGCUUAUGGUGCAUUUUGUUGUAUAGUUCCCUAAUGUGGUUACGGUUAUUGUUAUCUAUAUUUGGAUCUUAACAAUUUUUAAUCAUUUUUGUUGUAAAAACAAUAUAUACCAAAAAAAAGAAAAUCUUUGUCACUUCACUUCAAUUUACCUCCUAUUCCCCUUCUCAGUGUAAGAUUUUUCUGUAGCCCCUCUGAUAUUUACUCUACAUCUUUGUUGGUUUAAUAGGAAAUCUUUUUUCUCCCAUCCUCCCAUUACAAUAUAAACUCUUUGAAGUUUAUAUUUGAAGAUACCAAGUCUUCUUAAAACACUAUCUUCCCGAGCAGUGAUCCUGAUGAUAAAAUAGGAGCUUAAUAAAUGUUUGCUUAUUCUUAAGGAAAUACAUAAAUCAUCUAUGUACUAUGAACAUAUUGGUUCAAAUAUAGACUAUGUCCCCAAAAUGAGAUCUCUCUUUUUUAAAUUAUAUUUUAUUUUUCCAAAUAGAUACAAAGAUAGUUUUUAGUAUUCACCUUUGCAAAACCUUAUGUUCCAAAUUUUUCUCCCUCUCUUUCCUCCCCAAGACAGUCAGCAAUCUGAUACAGGUUAAAUAUUUGCAAUUCUUCUAAAUAUAUUUCCAUAUUUAUCAUGUUGAGCAAAAGAAAAAAAAAAUCAGAUCAAAAGGGAAAAAACUUGAGAAAAAAAAAAGUAAAUGAACAACAGCAACAACAAAGUGAAUAUGUUAUGCUUUGAUCCACAUUCAUUCUUCUUAGUGCUCUCUCUGGAUGUGGAUGGUACUUUCUAUCACAAAUUGAUAGAUUGAAAUUGCCUUGAAUCACCUCAGCAUAAUAGAAUCUUGGUGAAGAAAAAAUGUUUAUAUAAAAAGAAGGAAAAGGACCCACGUAUGCAAAAAUAUUUGUAGCAGCUCUUUUUUGUGGUAGCAAAGAAUUGGAAAAUGAGUAGAUGUCCGAAUGGCUGAACAAGUUGUGAUAUAUGAAGGUAAUGGAAUAUUUUUAUUCCCUAAAAAAUGAUGAACAAGCUGAUUUUAGAAAGAUCUGGAAAGAUUUAUAUGGAACUGAUGUGGAGUAAAAGAAGCAGAACCACAAAUACAUUAUACACAAUACCAGCAAGAACGUACAAGGAUUGACUAUGAAAGACUUGGUUCUUCUUAGUAGUUCGGUGAUUCAAAGCAAUCCCAAUAGACUUUGGAUAGAAAAUGCCAUCUGCAUCCAUAGAGAUUGAAUGUAAAGCAACAUAUGCCUUGUUCACCUCUUUUUUCUUUUUUCUGUUUUUUUUUUUUUUUAAUCUCUCCCAUGCUUUUUUCCUUUUGCUCUGAUUUUUCUCUCCUAAUAUGAUUCAUAAAGCAAUAUGUAUUAAAAAUAAAUAAAUUUACCAGGAUUAAAAAAAGGAAAAUAUUCAUAAAGCUAUCAGAAAAUAAUCACUCAUAAUUAUCAUAUAAUUUAUAUGCAUGGCCAAUGCUAAGCACUAAGUGAAGAUGAUCAGUCACAUUACUUGCCAUCAAGGAACUUUAAAUUGAGAUUGGAGAUUCCAACAUAUACAUGUAGAAUCAUAAUACUAUCAGACAAAUGAGAGACCAUGGGUAAUUUUGGGAUGUUUAGGAAGAGAGUAAAGAAUUAAUGUUUUUGCACACUGCUAUAAAUCAGUUAUGAAUAUAGAAUAUAAAAUAAAAGCUACAUAACAUAGUGAAUAGAAGAUGUGAUAUUAGAUACUGACUCUAGGACCAUGUGCAAAUCAUUUAAACCUCAUUGCACCAAACAGCUGAUGAGUUAAAGAUAAGUUUGAUGUACAUUGAUGGGAGUUUUCAUGUCAAUAGUUCCUAAUACUAAUAAAAUCACAGAUCUGAAUUUUAAUUUAAAAAAAGAAAAAAAGCACAGACUAGAAAAUCCUGGAUUUUCAGUCAACAAUCAUUUAUUAAAUAUUGCCCAGUGCGCCCUUAUCUUAAGUCUUUUCAAAUUAGCUUUUUAAUCAUCAUCAUCAAUAAGCAAUUUUAUAGAGAAAGGCAAAAAAAAAAAAUGACCAUCCUCUCCUUAAGGAGUUCAUGUUUAAUGGGGAAAAAGAUAUGCAAACUGUCCUAUAUAUAAGAUAUAUACAGAAUAGAAGGAAAGUAUCAGCAUCAUAGGGAAUCAGCAAAGCUAGGAGGCAGAUAUGAGGAGGGGAGAGUAUUCCAAGUCUGGGGGUAAAAAUGCUGAGAGUCUGGAGAUGAAAUAUGUAAUGUAUCUAGCAAGGAAACAAGUAUUGCUGGAUUAUAAAGUACAUGGAGUGGGUUAAAGCAUAAUAAGACUGGAAAAAUAGAAAGAAAUAAAAUUGUGAAGAAUCCUUAAAUGCCAACAUAAGUAUUUUGUAUUUGAUUCUGGAGAUAAUAGAAAACCACUAAUUUAUAGGGGGAAGAGCGAUAACAUGCUAUGCUUUAGAAAAAGGCACUUUGAUAGCUAUGUGGAGAAUAGGUUAGAGUGAACAGAAAUGUGAGGCAGGGAGACCAUCCAGAAAAUUAUUGGAAUAGUCCAGGUAUGAGGGGUCUGAAGGAAGGUAGUAGGUGUGUGAGUCAAAAGAAGAGAGAUAUUUUGAGAUAAAAAUAGUAAGUUCUGUUAACAGAUUGGAUUGGUGGGCUAAGUGAUAGUGAAUAGUUGAUGAUACCAAGUUUGCAAGCCUGACUGACUGGUAAGAUUGUGGUGCUUUCCACAGUGAUAGGGAAGUUGGAAAGAGAGAAAGGUUUAGAGGGAAAAUUGUUCAGUUAUUUUUCAAUCAUCCAACUUUUCGUCACUCCAUUUGGGAUUUUCUUGGCAAAGACACUGGAGUGAUUUGUUAUUCCUUCUCCGGUUCAUUUUGCAAAUGAAGAAAUGUAGGCAAACAGAGUAAAUGACUUGUCCAGUAUCACAUGGCUACCAAGUCUGAGGUCAUAUUUGAACUUGGAUCUUCCUGAGUACAGAUCUGGUGCUCUAUAUACUGCCCUACCUACCUGUCCUGUGAAUAGGUAAUAAGUCACUUUAAAAAUUGUGAUUUAAGAAUUGUGAUCUUCUUCAUGCUAAUCUUUCCAUUUGAUAUUAUUUCCCUUUUAUCCUAUGGAUAUCUUGUUUGAACAUAAUGUUUUUUGUGUCUACCCAUUUAGACAAUAUGCUCCUUGAAAAUUGGGGCUGUUUUUACAGUUCUUUGUCUGUCUAGAACAUUGCCUCCCAUAUAUUAGGAGCUUUUUUUGUUGACUUUCCUAUAAGGGAGUGAUGUCUAUGAGUGGAGAAUGGGGGUGUACACAAUAUCUGUUGUAGGUGGUGCAUUGGCUGCAAUGCUGGACCUGAGUUCAGAUUCUGCCUCAGGCUGAUAUUAACUAUGUGACCUAGGGCAGGCCUCUCUAAGCCUCGGUUUCUUCAUUAGUAAAAUGGAGCUAAUAAUAGCCCCUGGGCAGGUAGAUGGCACAGGGGAUUGAGAACCAGACCUGAAAUCAUUAAGAUUCAUCUUCUUGUGUUCAAAUCUGGCUUCAGAUACUUAGAAGCCAUCUCAUCCUGAACAAGUCACUUAACAAUGUUUACCUGAGUUUCCUCCUCUGUAAAAUAGGCUGGAGAAGGAAAUGACAAACCACUCCAGUAUCUUUGUUAAGAAAAUUCCAAGCAGGGUCAUGAGGACAAGUUGGACUUGACUAAAAAAAACUACUGACCAGCAACAAAAUAGCACUUACCUUACCAAGUUGUUGUGAAGAUCAAAUGAAUUAACAUAUAAGAUAAAGUGCUUUGCAGACCUCAAAGCACUAGGUAAAUGCUACCUAUUAUUAUUAUUAUUAUCAUCAUAUGACAAGAAUUUUUGAAUUUUUAGUGUAUGUGUUAGAAAGGAAUCAUCAAGGAUGGUUAUUGGGAGAAUAGUAUUCUUGAUAGUAAUAGGAUAAUUGGAAAGAGUUGGGAGGAAAGAUAAAAUUUUGUUUUGAAUCAAUUGUGUUUGAAAUACUUAUGGAAUAUCCUUUAAAAUGUUCAUUAGACAACUGUGAUAUAAGGCUGGAAUUUAGCAAACAAGUUAUGGGUGUAUGUGUUCCAAAUUCAAAGAUAUGGAAUCAGCUGUAUAGAGAUGAUGAGAUUACCAAGUAAAAUAGAGGAAAAGAACUGGUUCCAGGACUGCCUCAGGGGAUAUCCAGGGUUAACAUCUAGAUCUUGUUGAAGGGUACUGAAAGGAAGAGUCAAAGGAAGAGAGAACUAAAAAAGAGAGGAGUAUUAUGAAAAGAGAGAAGAGUUUCCAGAAGAGUAUGAUUUUAGUGUUAUAAAGGGUGCAGAGAGGUUAAGAAAGCUGAAUUAAGAAAAGGCCAUCAGAUUUUUUUGCAAUUAAGAGAAAACUGGGGGGGGGUAGAGUCAAGAUGGCAGAGAGGACACAUGUUUCAUUCUGAGUUCCCCUUAUAUCUUCACUACUAAUUACCAAUGAAAUAGUGCUUGACUGAUAUCCAUGACAUGAAUCCAUGAAUAUUGGGAGUACUACAAAUUACCAGGUGAAGAUCGCCAGAAAAAGUCUGUCUUGAUCAGGCGGGAGGAGGUCAGCAUAGGCAAGGAAGAAGAACACAGAGGCUAGUGCAGGCUGAGCAGACCAGGGAGGGGUGCGGUCUCCUCAGGUGGAGAAUUUGCAGGGAGGACUCUACCACAGGUUGUCUGCUCUACUUUGGUUGCAAAGUAGUAGAUCAGCAGAAAAGUUACACAAAUGCCAAAGGUAGAGUGUACCCCCAAAAUGCCAGAAUUUAACAGAACCUGGCUACACUCACCAGCACCAGGAGUGACUCAGCACAACCACAGCGCAGCUGCAUUCCCCAAGAAGGGGCUUUGUCCAGGGCAGUCACACUUCUCUUGAAGGGGACUCUUCCCAGGACAGUCACACUUCUGCAGUGUUGGGACUCUUCCCAGGGCAGUCACACUUCCACAGCUCUGCCGCUCUUUGCAGGUCGUUCACAGGACAUCUACUGUCCAUCUGUCCCUGUUUUGUAGAGGAAGCUGGGGACCUCCUUGCCCUGAAGGCAGGCCUCAAGGGCUUUAAAAAAAAAAAAAAACGAGUAAAAAAAGCAAAGUGAAUUCUAACUAUAGAUAGCUUCUAUACAGAAAGAGAGCAGAUUUCCAACUUUGAGGAGACUCACAGCAGAAGUCUCCAGACAAAACCCCAAAGAGGGAUAUAACUUGGUCCCCAUCACACAAGGCUCUCCUAGAAGAAAUUAUAAAAGAUCUUAAAAGAGAGCUAGAAGAAAAAUGGGAAUAGGAAAGAGAAGCUCUACAAGAGAGUAUGGAAAAGGCAUGUAACUCAUUAAAGAAAGAUUUGAUAAAGUGGAAAAAGAAAAUAACUUCCUGAAAUGUGAACUGGAAAAGGUAAAGAAUUCCCAGGGAAACAGAAUUUGUGAAUUUGAAAAGAUAAAGAACUCCAGGAAAAUAGGACUUGUGAUUUGGAAAAAGAAAAUAACUCAUUAAAAAAAAAGUUAAUGAAAUGGAAAAAAAAUUUCAUAGAGCAAAACAACUCAUUUUAAAACUCAGUUGGACAUAUACAAAAAGAAAAUUUUAAAAAGUUAGUGAAGAAAAUAACUCAUUAAAAAUCAGAACUGAAGAAAUGGAAAUGAAUGAUUUGUUGAAACAUCAAGAAUCAGUCAAGCAAGACCAACAAAAUGAAAAAAUAGAAACAAUGUUAAAUAUCUACUUGGAAAAACAACAGACCUGGGAAAUAGAUCUAAGAGAGAAAAUCUAAGGAUUAUUGGGCUCCCUGAAAACCAUGAUGAAAAAAAGAGCCUAGACACUAUUUUUCAGGAAAUCAUCAAAGAGAACUGCCCAGAAGUAAUAGAGUCAGAAUAGGAAGAAUUCAUCGAACACCUUUUGAAAAAGACCCCAAAAUAAAAUUUCAGAACUAUCAGACUAAGGAAAAAAUAUUGCAAGCAGCCAGAAAAAAACAAUUCAAAUACCGAGGAGCCACAAUAAGGAUCACUCAGGAUCUAGCAGCUUCCACAUUAAAGGAUUGAAGGGCCUGGAAUCUGAUAUUCCAAAAGGCAAAAGAAUUUGGAAUGCAGCCAAGAAUAAACUACCCAGUUAAGCUGAACAUUUUCUUCCAAGGAAGAAGAUGGGCAUUCAAUGAAACAGGUGAAUUCCAUCUUUUCCUAAUGAAAAAACUAGAACUAAACAAAAAAAUUUGACCUCCAAAUAUAGCACUCCAGAGAAGCAAGCGAAGAAACUCAAGAAAAGAGAGAGCUUUCCACCAAUGAAGAGGAAAUUAGAGCAAUAAUUAGGAGUUACUUUGCUCAACUAUAUGCCAAUAAAUUUGAUAACCUAAGUGAAAUAGAUGACUACCUUCAAAAAUAUAGGCUUCCCAGAUUAAUAGAGGAGGAAGUAAAUUUCUUAAAUAAUCCCAUUUUAGAAAAAGAAAUAGAACAAGCUAUUAAUCAACUCCCUAAGAAAAAAUCCUCAGGACCAGAUGCAUUUACAUAUGAAUUCUACCAAACAUUUAGAGAACAAUUAACUCCAAUGGUAUAUAAACUAUUUGAAAAAAUAGGGAAUGAAGGAGUCCUACCAAAUUUCUUUUAUGACACAGACAUGGUACUUAAACCUAAACUAGGUAGGUUGAAAACAGAGAAAGAAAAUUAUAGACCAAUCUCCCUAAUGAAUAUUGAUGCUAAAAUCUUAAAUAAAAUAUUAUCAAAAAGAUUACAGAAAAUUAUCUCCAGGAUAAUAUACCAUGACCAAAUAGGAUUUAUACCAGGAAUGCAGAGCUAGUUCAAUAUUAGGAAAACUAUUAGCAUAAUUGACUAUAUCAAUUACAAAAACCAUAUGAUCAUCUCAAUGGAUGCAGAAAAAGCAUUUGAUAAAAUCCAAUAUCCAUUCCUAUUAAAAAUACUUGAGAGUAUAGGAAUAAAUUGACUUUUCCUUUAAAUAAUCAGUAGCAUCUAUUUAAAACCGUCAGGAAACAUCAUAUGUAAUGGGGAUAAACUGGAACCAUUCUUAGUAAGAUCAGGAGUGAAACAAAGUUGCCCACUAUCACCAUUACUAUUCAAUAUUGUAUUAGAAAUACUCACUUCAGCAAUAAGAGUUGAGAAAGAGAUUAAAAAAAUAAGAUAGGUAAUGAGGAAACCAAAUUAUCACUCUUUGCAUAUGACAUAAUGGUAUAGAGAACCCCAGAGAUUCUACUAAAAAGCUAUUAGAAAUAAUCUACAACUUUAGCAAGGCUUCAGGAUACAAAAUAAAUCCACAUAAAUCAUCGGUAUCACUAACAAAAUCCAACAGCUAGAGAUACAAAAAGAAAUUCCAUUUAAAGUAACUGCCAAUAGUAUAAAAUAUUUGGGAAUCUAUCUACCAAAGGAAAGUCAGGAACUAUAUGAGCAAAACACAAAACACUUUCCACACUUAUAAAGUCAGAUCUAACCAAUUGGAAAAUUAUUAAAUGUUCUUGGAUAGGGCAAGCAAAUAUAAUAAAGAUGACAAUACUACCUAAACUAAUCUAUUUAUUUAGUACUAUAUCAAUCAGACUCCCAAAAACCUUUUAAUGUCCUAGAAAAAAAAACAACAAAGUUCAUAUGGAAGAACAAAAGGUCAAGACUUUCAAGGAAACUAAUGGAAAAAAAAAUUAAAUGAAGGUGGCCUAGCUGGACCAGAUCUAAAACUAUAUUAUAAAACAGCAGUUACCAAAACCAUUUGGUAUUGGCCAAGAAAUAGACUAGUUGAUCAAUGGAAUAGGUUAAGUUCACAGGACAAAAUAGUCGAUAGCUAUUGCAAUCUAGUGUUUGACAAACCCAAACACCCCAGCUUGUGGGAUAAGAGUUCACUGUUUGACAAAAACUGCUGGGAAAAUUGGAAAUUAGUAUGGUAGAAACUAGGCAUUGACCCACACUUAACACUGUACACCAAGAUGAGGUCAAAGUGGAUUCAUGAUCUAGGCAUAAAAAAUGAGAUUAUAAAUAAAUUAGAAGAGCAUACGCUUGUUUACCUCUCAGACCUGUGAAGGAGGAAGGAAUUUGUGACCAAAGAAGAACUAGAGACCAUUAUUGAUCACAAAAUAGGAAAUUUUGAUUAUAUCAAAUUGAAAAGCUUUUGUACAAAUAAGACUAAUGCAGACAAGAUUAGAAGGGAAAUAAUAAACUGGGAAAACAUUUUUACCGUUAAAGGUUCUGAUAAAGGCCUCAUUUUCAAAAUAUGUAGAGAAUUGAUUCUAAUUUAUAAGAAAUCAAGCCAUUCUCCAAUUGAUAAAUGGUCAAAGGAUAUGAACAGACAAUUUUCAGAUGAUGAAAUUAAAACUUUCUAGCCAUGUGAAAAGAUGCUCCAAAUCAUUAUUAAUGAGAGAAAUGAAAUUGAGACAACUCUGAGAUAACACUACACAUCUCUUAGAUUGGCAAGGACGGCAGGAAAAGAUAUUGCUGAUUGUUGGAGGGGAUGUGGGAAAACUGGGACAGUGAUACAUUGUUGGUGGAAUUGUGAAUGCAUCCAACCAUUCUGGAGAACAAUUUGGAACUAUGUUCAAAAAGUUUUCAAACUGUAUAUAUCCUUUGAUUCAGCAGUGUUACUAUUGGGCUUAUAUCUCAAAGAGAUCUUAAAGAAGAGAAAGGGACCUGUAUGUGCCAAAAUGUUUGUGCCAGUCCUUUUUGUAAUGGCUAGAAACUGUACAUUGAAUGAUGCCCAUCAAUUGGAGAAUGGCUGAAUAAGUUGUUGUAUAUGAAUGUUAUGAAAUAUUAUUGUUCUGGUAAGAAAUGACCAGCAGGAUGAUUUCAGAAAGGCCUGGAAAGACUUACAUGAACUGAUGCUGAGUGAAAUGAGCAGAACCAGGAAAUCAUUAUACAGUUCAGUAACAGUACUAUAUGAUGAUCAAUUCUGAUGGACGUGGCUCUCUUCAACAAUGAGAUGAACCAAAUCAGUUCCAUUUGUUCAAUAAUGAAGGGAACCAGCUAUACACCCAGCGAAAGAACUCUGGGAAAUGAGUAUGAAUCACAACAUAGCAUUUUCACCUUUUGUUUGCUUGCAUUUUUGAUUUUCUUCUCAAGUUAUUUUUGGAUAUAUAUAUAUCCAUGCAAUUAUUUUGCUACUAUAUAUAUGUGUGUGUGUGUGUGUUUAACAUAUACUUUAACAUAUUUGACAUGUAUUGGUCCACCUCUAGGGAGGGAGGAAGGGGAAGGGAAAAGUUGGAACAGAAGGUUUUGCAAGGGUCAGUGCUGAAAAAUUUUUACCCAUUCAUAUAUCUUGUAAAUAAAAAGGUAUAACAAAAAACCA